rnacentral:rRNA from 1 species
GAUGAACGCUGGCGGCGUGCUUAACACAUGCAAGUCGAACGAGAAGUGAAGACGGAAACCUUCGGGCGGAAGGCUUUAUUUCGAGUGGCGGACGGGUGAGUAACGCGUGGGUAACCUGCCUCAUACAGGGGGAUAACAGUUGGAAACGACUGUUAAUACCGCAUAAGACCACAGCACCGCAUGGUGCGGGGGUAAAAACUCCGGUGGUAUGAGAUGGACCCGCGUUCGAUUAGCCAGUUGGCGGGGUAACGGCCACCAAAGCGACGAUCGAUAGCCGAUCUGAGAGGAUGACCGGCCACAUUGGGACUGAGACACGGCCCAAACUCCUACGGGAGGCAGCAGUGGGGAAUAUUGCACAAUGGGGGAAACCCUGAUGCAGCGACGCCGCGUGAGUGAAGAAGUAUUUCGGUAUGUAAAGCUCUAUCAGCAGGGAAGAAAAUGACGGUACCUGAGUAAGAAGCCCCGGCUAACUACGUG